ensembl:lncRNA
UUUAAAACCUUGGCAGUUGUAUAGAGAAAUAACUACUCUUAUCAGUACCGCUCUGGAGGCAAUGAAGUUGUUAAAACAUUAACCCCUUCAGAGGGCCGUAUGGUUAGUACAUGAGACAGAACUAUCUAAAUUUCCAUCAAUAGGGAAAUACUGGCACCAGUUUAAAAGAAUGGACUGGUAAUAUUGAUAAGAAUUUGACUAAAAGGCACUGAUUAAAAAUUUGCAGAUUAAUAGAGACUAUAUAUUUAAAAUACAUUUCUAUAACUAUGCAAAUACACAUAAGUCCUGAACAGACAUCCAAUUUGUAAGUGUUUUGCGGAGGGACCAGGAAUUGGACAUUCUGGUCAAGAGGGUAGAUUUAUCAUUAUCUGUAAUGUUUUAAAUAAGAAUGUUAUCAUUAAACUAUGAAAAAAUUCAAUGAACUUACGGAGAACUAUAGCAACUAGAAAGAGAGUUGGUAGCUUAAGCUGAAACCUUUCCUGGAAUUUGGAGACUCUCAUCAUCUCUCCAGGCCUUCCCAGGCACACUGAAAUCCCAGUAAAUCGCUUCAUUCAGCGGAACAGAUCUGUAGUGAGAAUAACCAAAGACCUCCUACUGUCUACCUAGGAGAAUCAAACAGUAUCAUUCUCAAAUGUGGACAGACAGCUGAGGAUCAUCACAGAUGAUGGAAGAGUAUCAGCAGGAUGAGGACCAAAGCAGACUAAACCUGGGCCAGGUGAAGUUAUAUAAUGAGGAUAAAACUAAAAAUGUACAUUUGAAAUUGGAAUAGAUGCUACACUUUUAAAGCAAAUAUGAGAAGCUGCCAAAAAGAAAUAAGACAACUCCUAAGAAUUAAAAAAAAAAUUACUGUUAUAAUAGAAGGUUUCAAAGAAAGUUGUGGAAAUUCUUCCAUUUCAUAAAUUUGGAAGAAAAUGAGAAACAAAAGGGACUUGGAAGUCUAGUAGAAGGCCUGUCUAGUUAAUGUGCUUUUUAUAAAGGAAUAAAUGUUUGACUUCUUGAUAUAUCUG